AGAGUUUGAUCCUGGCUCAGGACGAACGCUGGCGGCACGCUUAACACAUGCAAGUCGAACGAGAGAAGAGGAGCUUGCUUUUCUGAUCUAGUGGCGGACGGGUGAGUAACACGUGAGCAAUCUGCCUUUCAGAGGGGGAUACCGAUUGGAAACGAUCGUUAAUACCGCAUAACAUAAUUGAACCGCAUGAUUUGAUUAUCAAAGAUUUAUCGCUGAAAGAUGAGCUCGCGUCUGAUUAGCUAGUUGGUAAGGUAACGGCUUACCAAGGCGACGAUCAGUAGCCGGACUGAGAGGUUGAUCGGCCACAUUGGGACUGAGACACGGCCCAGACUCCUACGGGAGGCAGCAGUGGGGAAUAUUGCACAAUGGAGGAAACUCUGAUGCAGCGAUGCCGCGUGAGGGAAGAGGGUUUUAGGAUUGUAAACCUCUGUCUUCAGGGACGAAAAAAGACGGUACCUGAGGAGGAAGCUCCGGCUAACUACGUGCCAGCAGCCGCGGUAAUACGUAGGGAGCGAGCGUUGUCCGGAAUUACUGGGUGUAAAGGGAGCGUAGGCGGGAUCGCAAGUCAGAUGUGAAAACUAUGGGCUUAACCCAUAAACUGCAUUUGAAACUGUGGUUCUUGAGUGAAGUAGAGGUAAGCGGAAUUCCUAGUGUAGCGGUGAAAUGCGUAGAUAUUAGGAGGAACAUCAGUGGCGAAGGCGGCUUACUGGGCUUUAACUGACGCUGAGGCUCGAAAGCGUGGGGAGCAAACAGGAUUAGAUACCCUGGUAGUCCACGCCGUAAACGAUGAUUACUAGGUGUGGGGGGACUGACCCCUUCCGUGCCGCAGCAAACGCAAUAAGUAAUCCACCUGGGGAGUACGACCGCAAGGUUGAAACUCAAAGGAAUUGACGGGGGCCCGCACAAGCAGUGGAGUAUGUGGAUUAAUUCGAAGCAACGCGAAGAACCUUACCAGGUCUUGACAUCGUAUGCAUAGCUCAGAGAUGAGUGAAAUCUCUUCGGAGACAUAUAGACAGGUGGUGCAUGGUUGUCGUCAGCUCGUGUCGUGAGAUGUUGGGUUAAGUCCCGCAACGAGCGCAACCCUUACUGUUAGUUGCUACGCAAGAGCACUCUAGCAGGACUGCCGUUGACAAAACGGAGGAAGGUGGGGAUGACGUCAAAUCAUCAUGCCCCUUAUGACCUGGGCCUCACACGUACUACAAUGGCUGUCAACAGAGGGAAGCAAAGCCGCGAGGUGGAGCGAACCCCUAAAAGCAGUCUUAGUUCGGAUUGUAGGCUGCAACCCGCCUACAUGAAGUCGGAAUUGCUAGUAAUCGCAGAUCAGCAUGCUGCGGUGAAUACGUUCCCGGGCCUUGUACACACCGCCCGUCACGCCAUGGGAGGCGGUAACACCCGAAGCCUGUAGUCUAACCGCAAGGAGGACGCAGUCGAAGGUGGGAUUGAUGACUGGGGUGAAGUCGUAACAAGGUA
rnacentral:rRNA from 1 species